rnacentral:rRNA from 1 species
GGGUGAGUAACACGUGAGUAACCUGCCCUAGGCUUUGGGAUAACCCCGGGAAACCGGGGCUAAUACCGGAUAUGACUGGCUGCCGCAUGGUGGUUGGUGGAAAGAUUUUUCGGCUUGGGAUGGACUCGCGGCCUAUCAGCUUGUUGGUGGGGUAAUGGCCUACCAAGGCGGCGACGGGUAGCCGGCCUGAGAGGGCGACCGGCCACACUGGGACUGAGACACGGCCCAGACUCCUACGGGAGGCAGCAGUGGGGAAUCUUGCACAAUGGGCGGAAGCCUGAUGCAGCGACGCCGCGUGAGGGAUGACGGCCUUCGGGUUGUAAACCUCUUUCAGCAGGGACGAAGCGUUUGUGACGGUACCUGCAGAAGAAGCGCCGGCCAACUACGUGCCAGCAGCCGCGGUAAGACGUAGGGCGCGAGCGUUGUCCGGAUUUAUUGGGCGUAAAGAGCUCGUAGGCGGCUUGUCGCGUCGACUGUGAAAACCCGUGGCUCAACUGCGGGCUUGCAGUCGAUACGGGCAGGCUAGAGUUCGGUAGGGGAGACUGGAAUUCCUGGUGUAGCGGUGAAAUGCGCAGAUAUCAGGAGGAACACCGGUGGCGAAGGCGGGUCUCUGGGCCGAUACUGACGCUGA